AAAUUUCAACAAAUUAGUAGUACUUUGUACGAAUUUCUACAAAAUUUAUACUAAUUUGUACAUAUUUAUUGGAAUUUCUAGCAAAUUACUACUAAUUACUACUAAUUCCUGCUAAUUUUAUUUUCUAACUAAUAUACAAAUAUCUAUUGAUUUUAUAACUAAUUCGUUCCUGGCGCCAGUGUUGGCGGACCUCGUGCGGUCGGAGGUGCCUAGGUUGGGACGGCGGCGGCUGGGGCGGCGGGAUGGCGGAGGCGGGGUUGUAGCGAGGUGGCCGCGGCAACGAUUAAUUUCUAACCUAGGCAGAGGUGAGGACGGACGUCUCUAGAAUUAGCCACCGUCUCCUAUGCGAAGGAUUGAACCACGACAAAACACGUGGAGCGACUAACUAAUUACUACUAAUUUCCACUAAUUUGAUUUUCUAACACAUAUACAAAUAUCUAUUGAUUUUCUAACUAAUUACUACUCAUUUCUAUUUAUUUUCUAACUAAAAAAAAGGCCCUUGCUGAUGCAAGCCGGUGGGCUUGC
rnacentral:lncRNA from 1 species